rnacentral:rRNA from 1 species
CUACGGGGGGCUGCAGUGAGGAAUAUUGCACAAUGGGGGGAACCCUGAUGCAGCAACGCCGCGUGGAGGAUGACGCAUUUCGGUGUGUAAACUCCUUUUAUAUGUCAAGAAAAUGACGGUAGCAUAUGAAUAAGCACCGGCUAACUCCGUGCCAGCAGCCGCGGUAAUACGGAGGGUGCAAGCGUUACUCGGAAUCACUGGGCGUAAAGGACGCGUAGGCGGGUUGGAAAGUCAGGUGUGAAAUCCUACAGCUUAACUGUAGAACUGCACUUGAAAAUUCUAAUCUAGAGUAUGGGAGGGGGAGAGGGAAUUAGUGGUGUAGGGGUAAGAUCCGUAGAUAUCACUAGGAAUACCUAAAGCGAAGGCGAUCUCCUGGAACAUUACUGACGCUAAGGCGUGAAAGCGUGGGGAGCAAACAGGAUUAGAUACCCCCGUAGUC